rnacentral:rRNA from 1 species
GACGAACGCUGGCGGCGUGCUUAACACAUGCAAGUCGAACGGUGAAGCUCCAGCUUGCUGGAGUGGAUCAGUGGCGAACGGGUGAGUAACACGUGAGCAACCUGCCCCUGACUCUGGAAUAAGCGCUGGAAACGGCGUCUAAUACUGGAUACGAGAAGGGUCCGCAUGGGCACUUUCUGGAAAGUUUUUCGGUUGGGGAUGGGCUCGCGGCCUAUCAGCUUGUUGGUGAGGUAAUGGCUCACCAAGGCUACGACGGGUAGCCGGCCUGAGAGGGCGACCGGCGACACUGGGACUGAGGCACGGCCCAGACUCCUACGGGAGGCAGCAGUGGGGAAUAUUGCACAAUGGGCGAAAGCCUGAUGCAGCGACGCCGCGUGAGGGAUGACGGCCUUCGGGUUGUAAACCUCUUUCAGCAGGGAAGAAGCGAAAGUGACGGUACCUGCAGAAGAAGCACCGGCUAACUACGUG